rnacentral:lncRNA from 10 species
UUGAUGGAGACUGUGCUUGGCACUCUUGGGGAAUCGUGGGGCAGCUGCUCCAAGGAGGAGAGCUGCAAAGGGAGGUCUUGGCACCCUCCCUGGCAAGAGGAGCGGGCUGGAGCAACUAUGGAGGGAUCUCCCUGGAAUUGGAUCAUCUGAGAAGCUCUGCUAUAGAAUGCGUCAUCCUGCCCAGCACACAGGAGGCUCUCAGGCUAUGUUUGUUGAAUAAAUGAACAAUGGAAAGUCACAAUUUCUGCUCACCUUCGAACCAGGUGCAGCCUUGGGAUCUGCAUUCCUAAGAAGAGACACUGGACCUCAGGCUCUGACCCCAGAGCAGGAGGGCAGUGGCUGUCCCUGACCCCCUGAUCUCUGAGCUCAGGGGAGGACAGUGAGCCCGUCCAACUUCGUGAGAGGAACCAGUUGAAAAGGAAGGCCCGACAUAUUUCCAUCAGCAAGCAACAGGACCACCAACUCCUCCGUGUUGCCCAGCUCCCACUGAGAGUGGACAUACAGUCAUACCCAUACCCAACACGCAUCCCAGUCUGUGCGGAGCAGUCCAUCAUCAUCCUCCCUAGCUUCGGACGACAGCCGACUAAGACCCUUUUGGAGCACCAUCACUUCUCUGUACAGUGGCCCAGGCUCAAACCACCCUGUGCUCUGCAGGUCCUGGAUCUCUAAGGGGUGAGGCCAGAGCUGCGGUCCUUCUGAGGCCCCAGCCUCCCCAGAUGGCGAGGGGAAUGGGCUGCUGGCCACAAGAGUUGGCGAGCGCAUUCCAGACCCUAUAAAAAGACAAACGCCCUGGCUGCCAGAGGCUUAGGCUCCAGCCUCGUGGAGGACGCUGCAGCAACUUGAACCCCAGGAAUGCGACAGGGGCCUGGUGGAGCCUGCUGAUGCCUGAGGGGUGGGAAGCCACCCUGCAGCCCAGGAGGGGCCAAAUGGGCAGCCAUCUUGCAGAGCUUGCCAGGCCCUGCCCUGCCCUGCCCUGCCCUCGAGGAGAGCAGGCACCAUCUACUUAAGAAAAAUCUAAAUUAUCCAGAACUUGGAAAUAAAGCAAAGAAAGGAUGCCAUAUCUUUGUAAUAUCAUGUUGGAGCAUUUUAUAACAGGCCUGGCCAAGGAUUAUCUAAUUAUCCAGGUCAGGGUUUCUCAACCUCAGCCCUAAUGAUAUUUUGGUCUGGAUACUUCUUUGUUGGUGGGAGGGGGCUGUCCUGUGCAUUGCAGGGCCCCUGCCUCUACCCCACUAGAUGCUAGUAGGACACAUCUCCGCCCCUGCCCCUCCCCCUCACAAUUCCAGUUGUUGCCAAAUGUCCUCUGGGGCAGAACUACUUCCCCUCCCCAAUCCCUUGAAAACCACUGACCUAGGAGGGAAUGUAACUUUGUUUAGCUCUCACUAUUCUGUCCUCUAGAGAUGCAAAUGAAUUCUGCCUGAUAGGAAGAUAACCCCAAUGGUUAGAGUUUUAUUGCCCUGUAGGACAUUAACCAGCUUGGUAUCUAACCUAGCAAUCCUAUUCCAUCAUUCUCUCUCCGGUGUCAUAACUUCUGCUGCUCUAAUUCCCUUUAACUCAGCUUCACACGCCUGCUUGUUCUCUUUUGAGUUGAACUAAUCUUUGAUAUGUGUUCCUUGGAUAUUUUACUCACAGUUGUGUUUUCACUUUUUGAACAUCAUACUUUGACAUAGGAUUGCUUUGAGGGUGAAAUGAGAUAAUGUAGCAAAAGCAAUCAGUUUAUCAUGUCUGCCCAACAAUUAGGAAGUCUGAUAAUUGUUUUUGCUUUUCCACAUUGGUCCCCUCAGCCUGGCCUAGGCUGGAAUGGUAACCCUGCCCAAUAAAGGAUGUAGGCCUGCCCACAGAGCCACCUGGGCAUGUGCAGUGAUCUAACCUCUCUGCGCUGUGGUUUACUCCUCUGUACAAAUGAGAAAAAUAAAAGUACC